UAUAGUCUGUAUAGUUUAUCUCCCCACGAAUACACUCAAAGUAGUCUUAAAAUAAAACCCACAAAACAGUUCAAGAUUUAAUACUUUUUAUUUGCUCAUUUAAUGCCAGUUGCCCUGUUUUUCUGUAUGUCACUCAUUCGCUUAUACUUGGGCAAAAAGUACCAAUUUGUACACUAGUAUAGUGUAUUUUUUCCCUCUAUCUCUCUAUGUCUGUCACACACAGAGACCAACACACAGACAUGUAUAUGCUCAUUAUUGCUGUUCAAACUGAUGGUCAAAUUUCCAAGCACCACCUGAACGCCUCAUCUGUUUUUAACCUAUCACUGGACCAACUGUCGUCAUUCCGCUUCGCUCUCUGCUGUGGUAAGUACAGUACACUCAGUACUGCAGUGUUUUAUUUUUAUGAUGGAAAAAAUACAUGUUUGACAUUUAAACUCACAUAUCAAGUCCAACAGAGUUAAAAAGAAUUCAAAGAAGAAAGAAAAAAGAAUAACCUUCGCUAUCAUUUAUAUACGUUUAUGAUGUUUUGCUGUUAGCAGCAGUGCUAACGCUAGCUUCGAUGCUAAUGCUAGCAACAAUGCUAAUGCUAGCAACAAUGCUAACGCUAGCUAUAGUGCUAACACUAGCCUUAGCACUUGUUAACUGACAAAAAUAAUAUUCCUGUGAUAUUUCUUGCCGGUCAGUGAGACAAAAGUAAGAAAUGAGCUUUAUUAUUGCCAUUGUGGCUCAGUUUUAACAGUAAGAGUGCUAGCGCUAGUAGCAUUGCUAACGCUAGCUGCAAUGCUAACGCUAGCUGCAUUGCUAACACUAACUGAAGUGCUAAUGCUAGCCGGAAUGCUAGCGCUAGCAGCAAUGCUAAGGCUAGUAACAGUCUAACAGUAGCCUUACAUAAGUGGCAAUACUUCAGUUAAUUAGUUUGAAUUGUAAAAUGGCUGCUGUAUCAGUUGGUGUGCUAUAUUACUCUAUAAUUACCCUGCUGACUAGAAGUUCAGUGUAUCAUGUCGUGUGGGCUUUGUAUUUCUGUUAGUCUGAUAACACUGUACAGACAACUAACGUAUUAUUUCUCGUGUUACACUUUCAGGAACCUGACUGACACUGUGCUUUGCCUGUGUGCAGAAGAAGAACAAGGACCAGAUCUCCAGUCUUCUCUCUCACAUCCCAACCCCCCACCCCCUCUAUCCUCUGUCCUGCUCCACCUGUUGUCUCUGCCUUCUUUCCAUCUGUAUUUCACUCUGUGGUUUGUGAGAAAUUUUGCCAAACCAAGAAUCUUAUUGCGGUUUGAUUUAAAGCCGUGUCUCUCCUGCUCUGUCUGUUCUCUCUGCUAAAUUUUCUCUCUACCUGUUUUUCACUCUUGGCUUGCUGCUGAAAAACGCCAAGCCAACAAAGCAAUAAAGAGUGCAUAUUUUGCCUCAACCUAUGAACAAACUGAACAAACAAAGAAAAAUCUGCGGUUUGAUUUAAAGCCGUGUCUCUCCUGCUCUGCCUGUUCUCACUGCUAAAUUUUCUCUCUACCUGUUUUUCACUCUUGGCUUGCUGCUGAAAAACGCCAAGCCAUUAAAGCAAUAAAGAGUGCAUAUAUUGCCUCUACCUGAGAACAAACUGAACAAACAAAGAAAACUAAUUCACGGUUUGAUUGUGAUUUCCCAGCCGUGUCUCUCCUGCUCUGCCUGUUCUCUCUUCUAAAUUUUCUCUCUACCUGUUUUUCACUCUUGGCUUGCUGCUGAAAAAUGCCAAGCCAAUAAAGAGAGUGCAUAAUAUUCUCUCAACUGAAGAACAAACUGUCAAACGAAAGACAACUGUUUAAGACAAAUAAAAACUGAAAUAUAAAAACAAA